CCCAACUAUCCCUAUUAAUCAUUACGGUGAUCCUAGAAACCAACGAAAUAGAAUCAGUCCGUCCUAUUUCAUUAUUCCAUGCUAAUGUAUUCAGACGAUAGUCUGCUUUAAACACUCUAAUUUUUUCAAAGUAACAGUCCUGAUUUCCCAUCACACCAAAUGAAUGGCAUCCACGCUCGCCAGAAGGUGAGACCCGCAACGACGCAGUGCUCGCCCAGAGGACGGACCACCCGCACGGGCCUAAGGUUCAACUACGAGCUUUUUAACUGCAACAACUUUAAUAUACGCUAUUGGAGCUGGAAUUACCGCGGCUGCUGGCACCAGACUUGCCCUCCAA
rnacentral:misc_RNA from 1 species